ensembl:lncRNA NPEPPSP1 NPEPPS pseudogene 1
GGUCUCUCCCCCGCCCCCCAGGCUCCCCCGGUCGCUCUCCUCCGGCGGUCGCCCGCGCUCGGUGGAUGUGGCUGGCAGCUGCCGCCCCCUCCCUCGCUCGCCGCCUGCUCUUCCUCGGCCCUCCGCCUCCUCCCCUCCUCCUUCUCGUCUUCAGCCGCUCCUCUCGCCGCCGCCUCCACAGCCUGGGCCUCGCCGCGAUGCCGGAGAAGAGGCCCUUCGAGCGGCUGCCUGCCGAUGUCUCCCCCAUCAACUGCAGCCUUUGCCUCAAGCCCGACUUGCUGGACUUCACCUUCGAGGGCAAGCUGGAGGCCGCCGCCCAGGUGAGGCAGGCGACUAAUCAGAUUGUGAUGAAUUGUGCUGAUAUUGAUAUUAUUACAGCUUCAUAUGCACCAGAAGGAGAUGAAGAAAUACAUGCUACAGGAUUUAACUAUCAGAAUGAAGAUGAAAAAGUCACCUUGUCUUUCCCUAGUACUCUGCAAACAGGUACAGGAACCUUAAAGAUAGAUUUUGUUGGAGAGCUGAAUGACAAAAUGAAAGGUUUCUAUAGAAGUAAGUAUACUACCCCUUCUGGAGAGGUGCCCUAUGCUGCUGUAACACAGUUUGAGGCUACUGAUGCCCGAAGGGCUUUUCCUUGCUGGGAUGAGCCUGCUAUCAAAGCAACUUUUGAUAUCUCAUUGGUUGUUCCUAAAGACAGAGUAGCUUUAUCAAACAUGAAUGUAAUUGACCGGAAACCAUACCCUGAUGAUGAAAAUUUAGUGGAAGUGAAGUUUGCCCGCACACCUGUUACAUCUACAUAUCUGGUGGCAUUUGUUGUGGGUGAAUAUGACUUUGUAGAAACAAGGUCAAAAGAUGGUGUGUGUGUCUGUGUUUACACUCCUGUUGGCAAAGCAGAACAAGGAAAAUUUGCAUUAGAGGUUGCUGCUAAAACCUUGCCUUUUUAUAAGGACUACUUCAAUGUUCCUUAUCCUCUACCUAAAAUUGAUCUCAUUGCUAUUGCAGACUUUGCAGCUGGUGCCAUGGAGAACUGGGACCUUGUUACUUAUAGGGAGACUGCAUUGCUUAUUGAUCCAAAAAAUUCCUGUUCUUCAUCCCGCCAGUGGGUUGCUCUGGUUGUGGGACAUGAACUUGCCCAUCAAUGGUUUGGAAAUCUUGUUACUAUGGAAUGGUGGACUCAUCUUUGGUUAAAUGAAGGUUUUGCAUCCUGGAUUGAAUAUCUGUGUGUAGACCACUGCUUCCCAGAGUAUGAUAUUUGGACUCAGUUUGUUUCUGCUGAUUACACCCGUGCCCAGGAGCUUGACGCCUUAGAUAACAGCCAUCCUAUUGAAUAUUACAGGCUAUCUGCUUCCUGUCAUAACCCUGAAUCACACUGUCUGCCAGGUCAGUGUGGGCCAUCCAUCUGAGGUUGAUGAGAUAUUUGAUGCUAUAUCAUAUAGCAAAGGUGCAUCUGUCAUCCGAAUGCUGCAUGACUACAUUGGGGAUAAGGACUUUAAGAAAGGAAUGAACAUGUAUUUAACCAAGUUCCAACAAAAGAAUGCUGCCGCAGGUAAUCUUUAAUAGCUUGAGAUAGAAAUGGAGAGAAAGUAUUGUCACUCUAUCCAGGCUGGGACAUUUUAUUUUUGUUCUGAAUACUUAACUCAAGGUCAGGAUCCAUGUAAUAAAUAAAUUAGCCU